ACAAAACCCUGGAGACUGAAUUCUUCUUGUUACCCAGGGAACUAGUAAAACAUUGGCAGCAGAAAUGUAAACUACCCCACACCCACCCAUCAAUGUGCCCCUGCCAUGCUUUGGUGGGACCACCUCUAAUGGUGAGAGGGGAGUUCAGUCUCCAGGACCUGUUUGUUCCUUGGUUCCU
ensembl:misc_RNA